AGGGACCCUGUGCUCUUGGCGCUCUUGGAAAAUGCUGACGAACCACAAGGGAAGGUGGCCAUUUCACGCUUCUUCACUCCCGCCCCACAGCCUGGCAUCGUGAAUAGGGGAACAGCCCCAGAGUACGGAGACGCUGCACCCACAUACAGCGGCAGGCGCCAGGAGGAAAGGGCAGAAGAGUGGACACCACGGAUGGUAAGCUGCCACCCAUGGAUGGGAACACCAGGCGCAGACCAGCCGCAGCACCCAUGGCUCUCCAGGACUACCGUGAGGAGCCCCGGUCAAACACACAGGGCUUAGGCUUACUUCUCAGCUUCUCAUCUACGUCUUCUUCUUGUAAAAGCUACACAUGCAACCAGCAU